CCAUUUGGCAUUAACAUGGCGGGUAUCUUUGGCUGAAGUGGGACACCACUAACCAUAAUAUUAGAAGGUGAUUGACAUCAUUACAAUGGGAAAGUAAAUUUUAAAAAUAUGUCACAUGAGGC
rnacentral:lncRNA from 1 species